UUCCCUUCCACACUGCGGAAGCUUUGUUCUUUCGCUCUUUGCAAUAAAUCUUGCUACUGCUCACUCUUUGGGUCCACGCUGCUUUUAUGAGCUGUAACACUCACCGCGAAGAUCUGCAGCUUCACUCCUGAGCCCAGGGAGACCACGAGCCCACCGGGAGGAACGAACAACCCCAGACGCGCGGCCUUAAGAGCUGUAACACUCACCGCGAAGGUCUGCAGCUUCACUCCUGAGCCAGCGAGACCACGAACCCACCAGAAGGAAGAAACUCCGAACACAUCUGAACAUCAGAAGGGACAGACUCCAGACGCGCCACCUUAAGAGCUGUAACACUCACGGCGAGGGUCCGCGGCUUCAUUCUUGAAGUCAGUGAGACCAAGAACCCACCAAUUCUGGACACACAAUGAGAUAAUAACAUAAGUUUGAAAACUGCAAUUGGGCCUACUAAGGAACCAUGAUAGUGUUUGGUACAUAGAGGACACUGGAAAUGGUUUUCUUAACUGAACAAGUGACUAGAAUAAAGGAAUUAAUGAACGACAUCAGAGCUGAAAUCCCAAACCAUAAAUCAUAAAAGGAUCAGACAGCAAAGAGUACUCAAAAGCUGAUUUAUUGAGAUCCUGAUGAGUUUGAAGUAACUAGAAACUUGAUCAAACAGUGACAAGACCCAAGAUUUGUUUUACUCUAAAGUGAGAAAUUAUCCUCAACAAAAAAACAUUUCACAGUGAGAAUCAGAAGAAUAUUUGCAUCAGGCAACUCUGGGUGCUAGAUAUUUAUUUUUUUUCUUUUUCACAUGAACUAUAAAAACUUACCACAAAAGACUGAUCUCCACAACUGCUUAUACUCUAGGAUUAUUAUACAUUGCACUGUUCUUGCUGAUACUCCAAAGACAUGUAGAAAAUAGAAAGUGCCGAAUAAUAUUUCAUUUUCUGGAUAUACCUCACUUUAUCUACUUGCUACAGAAGGGCAUCCUGCUUACUUUAAAGUUUUGGCAAUUAGGAAUAAAGCUGCUAUAAGCAUCCAGUCCUGCAGGUUGAAAAAUCCAAGAUCAUGGCACUGGCAGGUUUUGUGUCUGCUGAGGGCCUGAUCUUCACUUCCAAGAUGGUGGCUCGAGUGCUGCCUUCUCCAGGAUACAGGAAUACUGUUCCUCACAUGGAAGAAGUGAAAGAUCAAUGAAUCCACUCUUGCAAGCCAAUUUUUGCUCUGUUUGUUUGUUUUUGAGACAAGGUCUCACUCUGUCACCCUAGAGGUUGGAGUGCAGUGGCACAAUCUCUUCUCCCUGCGACCUCCACUUCCCUGCUCAAGUGAUCCUCCCACCUCAGCCUCCCAAAUAACUGGAACUACAAGCGAUGACUACCAAAAAAUGUCUAAUUUGUUUGUUUGUUUGUUUUUGCUAGAGACUGGCUUUUGCUAUGUCAGCCAGGCUGGUCUCGAACUCCCAGGCUCAGCCUAUCCACCUGCCUGGGUCUCCCAAAGAGCUUGGAUUAUAGACAUGACCCACUGCAUCCAGCCACAAGCCCAUUUUAUAAUGGCAUUAUUCCAUUCAUGAGGUCAGAGCCCUUGUGACCUGAACUCUUAUCCUUAGGCCACAAAUUCUAAUGCUGUUGCAUUAGGAAUUAACUUUCUGACACAUGAAUUUUAAGGAAGACAAAAACAUUCAAACUACAGCAGAUUUUAUUCUAUAUGUAAUUGUUCAAGAAAGUGAAUUACUGUACAUGAAUAUAAGGAGUUUUUUCACUAAGAACUCUCAAAAUAGUAAAAACAGAGGAAUAAAAACAGAACAAGGGUAACUGAGACUAAACUAGCAAGACACCUUCAAAGAAGCCACAAUAGUUCAGAGAACUAAAACAUGGAUUCAAGAUUUAUGGAAACUUAAAAAAAAGAGCUUGACAAUUUUAUAAAGACUGAAUAGGAAUAUAAUUAAUCCAAGAAUUUCCUUUAUGGCCUGAAAGGUGACAUAAUAAUAAUACAAACAAACACUUAUGCAGCAUUUAUUAUGAACAGUGCUUUUCAAGAUCAUUUAAUUCUGUCAACAAUUCUGUGUAGCAAAUAAUAUGAUUUUUUUUAUAGAAGAGAAUAGGGGUGACAAGGGAAGCAUGGUGGCUGAUUAUUAACAUUACACUGGAAUCUUCCACAGAGUAAAAUAUUGUGUGUAAACAAGCAAAGAUAUUUGAGUUACAGAUUUAAUUCAAUACUUUAGUGUUGCAUGAUAUCUUAAUGAAGGAAACCCAAAAUUCUGUAAUCAAGAAAGAUAAAUUUUAAUGCUUCAUAGAUAGAUUUAUUAUUCAAAAGAUUAAUACAACAAUAUGUUGGCCAAAUACAGCCCCCAUUGCAAAGUAGUAUUAACAAAUACGUGCAGAAAACUAACACUUUACCCACAUACAUUGAUUUAGAUUUUUUCCAGAAAGUUUAAUUUCAUAUAAAUAUUUUACCACUUUAUAUUAGGUUGCUCCAAAAGUAAUUCUGGUUUUUGCUAAUAGGUAUGAAUUUUCAGUCGAAUAUUUGCAAGGAAUACUAGAUUCUGCAACUAAUGCUUUAUAGGGAAAAUAGUCACUAACAUAGAAGAACAAAAACUCUAUUUUAAAGUUAGCCCAUAUGUCUGACUCUUCAAAAAAAUUUUUACUACUGCACUGACAGGUGAAAUUUCUUUCGUGCUGGGGGGAUGUAGGGGAAAGAAUCACAAAGUUUUUACAGAUUUAUUUCCUUUCCAGAUUCUAUUUGCAAAGCAAGGCUUACAAAAGUUUUUUAAUAUAGAUUUAAGUUUUCCAUGAUAGUGGGAAAGUUUUCAAGAUAGCUCUAUAAACAUAAUCUCCUAAAUCUGAUGAGUCUCUGCUAGACAUGAAAAAAAAUACAUUGUCUUUCACAUCUUUCUGUGCUAAGAAUUUAGGCUGCAAAGAAAAUUUAAAGGCGAAAUUCUUAUGUGAACUUAUUUAUUCUAUAUAAUUAUUAGACUUCAUUUUGUCUAAUCAUUAUUGAUCAUUUAAUAAAAUCAGUUGGGGAUAAAAUAAUUCUCUAUGUCUCAUUGGUUUUCUGUGCUAUUUUACUCUACAUUCAAUAAAAAGAAAAAUAUAUAAAUAACAUUUAUCACAUACUCCAUUAAGUCUAACAUAUGCUAGCAGAGCACACUGCAGUCAAAUUGUGUAUGUCUGUGUAAAAUUGGUGCUGUUCCUUCACUAAAAAACAUCUAGUAAAUGAAACUAUAGUCCAACAAGUAGACUUAUUUUGGCUUUGCAUUGAAAUGAAACAAGCGUACAGAUUCUAAAUUCACAGUCCUUUUUGGCUAAAAAGUCCACACUUUAUAAUUAAUGCAUUAUUUUGGUUUAUGUUGC
rnacentral:lncRNA from 10 species